GCGGGAGUAGCUCAGUUGGUAGAGCAUCAGCCUUCCAAGCUGAGGGUCGCAGGUUCGAGUCUUGUCUCCCGCUCAA
rnacentral:tRNA from 1 species